AUGAACGCUGGCGGCGUGCUUCACACAUGCAAGUCGAACGGUGAAGGCGGAGCUUGCUCUGCUGGAUCAGUGGCGAACGGGUGAGUAACACGUGAGCAAUCUGCCCCUGACUCUGGGAUAAGCGCUGGAAACGGCGUCUAAUACUGGAUACGAGCUGCGAAGGCAUCUUCAGCAGCUGGAAAGAAUUUCGGUCAGGGAUGAGCUCGCGGCCUAUCAGCUUGUUGGUGAGGUAAUGGCUCACCAAGGCGUCGACGGGUAGCCGGCCUGAGAGGGUGACCGGCCACACUGGGACUGAGACACGGCCCAGACUCCUACGGGAGGCAGCAGUGGGGAAUAUUGCACAAUGGGCGAAAGCCUGAUGCAGCAACGCCGCGUGAGGGACGACGGCCUUCGGGUUGUAAACCUCUUUUAGCAGGGAAGAAGCGAAAGUGACGGUACCUGCAGAAAAAGCGCCGGCUAACUACGUG
rnacentral:rRNA from 1 species